UCCCCGUUACCGGGGCAGUCUGGCUAGAAAAAUACAACUAACCAUAAGGGUUGCGCUCGUUAAUGGACUUAACCAAACAUCUCACGACACGAGCUGACGACGGCCAUGCAACACCUGUCACUGAGUUCCGGGUUAGGGCACACAAAAAAAUUUAUGUACUCUAACCCGGCACUCACUGCUUUCGCAGUAAUUCUCAGGAUGUCAAGCCCUGGUAAGGUUCUUCGCUUACCAUCGAAUUAAACAACACACUCCACCGCUUGUGCAGCUCCCCGUCAAUUCCUUUGAGUUUUAGUCUUGCGACCGUACUCCCCAGGCGGGAUGCUUAACGCGUUAGCUUCGCUACAUACCGGGUCGAUACGGCAUACAGCUAGCAUCCAUAGUUUACGGCGUGGACUAC
rnacentral:misc_RNA from 1 species